GUGAGGAAUUUUGCGCAAUGGGGGCAACCCUGACGCAGCGACGCCGCGUGGAGGACGAAGUCUUUCGGGAUGUAAACUCCUGUCAGUGGGGACGAUAAUGACGGUACCCACAGAGGAAGCACCGGCUAACUCCGUGCCAGCAGCCGCGGUAAGACGGAGGGUGCAAGCGUUGUUCGGAAUUACUGGGCGUAAAGCGUAUGUAGGCGGCAAGUUAAGUUCAAUGUUAAAGUCCACGGCUCAACCGAGGAGAUGCAUUGAAUACUGGCUAGCUAGAGGGUGUUAGAGGAAGACGGAAUUCCCAGUGUAGCGGUGAAAUGCGUAGAUAUUGGGAGGAACAUCGGUAGCGAAAGCGGUCUUCUGGGACAUACCUGACGCUGAGGUACGAAAGCGUGGGGAGCAAACAGGAUUAGAAACCCUAGUAGUCC
rnacentral:rRNA from 1 species